UACGUAGGGUGCGAGCGUUGUCCGGAAUUACUGGGCGUAAAGAGCUCGUAGGUGGUUUGUCGCGUUGUUCGUGAAAACUCACAACUCAAUUGUGGGCGUGCGGGCGAUACGGGCAGACUGGAGUACUGCAGGGGAGACUGGAAUUCCUGGUGUAGCGGUGGAAUGCGCAGAUAUCAGGAGGAACACCGGUGGCGAAGGCGGGUCUCUGGGCAUGAUCUGACGCUGAGGAGCGAAAGUGUGGGGAGCGAACAGG
rnacentral:rRNA from 1 species